rnacentral:rRNA from 1 species
UACGAAGGGGGCUAGCGUUGUUCGGAAUCACUGGGCGUAAAGGGCGCGUAGGCGGGAUGGCAAGUCAGUCGUGAAAUCUCUCGGCUCAACCGAGAAGCGUCGGCUGAUACUGCCGUUCUUGAGGGAUGCAGAGGAGACUGGAAUUCCCGGUGUAGCGGUGAAAUGUGUAGAGAUCGGGAGGAACACCGGUGGCGAAGGCGGGUCUCUGGGCAUUUCCUGACGCUGAGGCGCGAAAGCGUGGGGAGCAAACGGG